CUGCAGUAAUCUACGGGUUCGCCCAUCUUGCCCUCACACACUAGGCACUGCCACCCUGCAGACCAUGCGGUGAUGCUGACCGAUGGAGGGCGAGGAGUGUGGUGUUUAAGUUAAUACGGCACAUCAUCAUAAGGCCAAAUCAACAAAGAUCAACUCACAUUUGUAUUGGCAACCUCUCAAAUUAGGUAGAACAUGUGAAUGGGCGUGUGGGAAUGUAAGGUGUGUGGAAAAUCAGUGUCAAGUAGGUAUGAAUUGCUUAAACAUUGCAAGCUAAAACACAGUCAUCAUGGAAACAGGUUCAGGCAUCUCUGCCCAUAUUCUAAUUGUCCAUGCACAUUUAGACUUUGGAACAGUCUUUUGAGUCAUAUAUACCGUACUCACAAAACUUA